UCAGCCCACGAGACCAUGAUCAUCUGCGUGAAGGUGGGCAUGCCGUACCGACUGGGAUCGCCCAAGGUUUGGGAGUUGGACACACCUGUGGUGAAGGUUCGAGUCCCGACGGUGACGUUCAUGAACCUGUACAAGUUCCAGGUAGAAGCCUGGGGAUACAAUUCCACCGAGUCCAGUAGUUCCGAAGAGAGCUCAUCUUCUAGCGAUUAGAUAAUUAAAAGUUUGCAAAAUCAAUAA